GGCAGGGAAAUGGACCCUUCCCCAGGAUGAAUCAGACUUCAAGGAGAAAUCUCUCUGAUUUCUAGACCCAUUUUGGACUUAAAUCCUCUCUGAGCCAUCAGCUAUUUAUUUACUCUCUGCCAGCUCCUACAUCUUUACCUGUGAGCUGAGCUUUUCCAGUUUGAAAAGUAAAAAACAAAAGAACCCUCAGGACAGCUCGUUUUCCGUCAGCUCCUCUGUACUGAACCACGAUGGCCGACACUCCUUUAGACGUUGAGACGUACCUGAAAUUGGUCAUCAAAGGCAAGGAAAUGGAAGCUCAGUGUGGUUAGAUGACUUGAGCCAGAUCAGAGAUUUCAUGAUUGACCCACCCACCAUGCCUUCCUCCAAAGCCCACGCUCUUCUGCCCGGGACCGUAGGAAGAUCUCCUCUCAGGAAUGUGGGCGGGAAGGGCUGCCGUUGGAAAUCUGGUCAAGUUCCCGCCCACGCUGGAGGAAACCUCGAGGUCUAGAGAGACACUUAUCACAGAGAUACAUCACAGCACGGGAAAUUCCGCCGGUCCCAUCCAGCGUGGCUUCCGAUGGCCAGUUCCUCUGACUGUCAAUGUUACCCGAGAUUCUAACUCUACAGCUCCGUAGGAAUGCAGGAAAGCUGUUCUGUAGAUAAAUCCCUAGGUUUAUCAACCCGUGUAUUAUUUAUUCUUAUGCAAUUAGCAACCACUGGUCUGAAAAAAAAAAGGACGGCGGGGCUGAAUAAAUGAAGGACAUCUGGGCUGAAUCAAUAAAUCUUUGUGUCUUAUUCCCAGCAGCAAUUCUGCUGCUUUACGGACGCUGGAGUCUCACACGGA